CCUGGAGAAACUGGAGUGUUCUGGCAGGAGUUGGACCUGGGACCAAGACUGGAGAUGCCUCUUGAUGAUACCCGGACCUUGGAAGAAGGAAAGAGUCCAGGCUGGGAAGCGGACAGGCAUUGGCAAUGAAUCAUCUGUUCCAUCUGACCUGCUCUCUCGACUCUCUGCGACAGAGUUUAGUUCCUUUCCCACAGUUGCUCCUCAACACACACUGAUCUUAUACAUGAACCUCCUCAUCAAGGAACCACCUUCGAGCAUCCAUGCGGUGCUGGGUCAGGUGCCAAAGAACAAAGUGUCUCAGACUUGGGCCAAUGAUUCUGUUUCAUCCACGGUGAGUGAAUGCAGUGAAUAAGAACACCAGCUUUGAUGUCCGGAGACCUGGGUUCAAACUCUAUCUUUGACUUGUUCUAAUGAUGUGACCCUAGACACUUAACUGAGCCUCAGUUCCUCAUCCAGAGAAUGAGAUUCAUGGUCAUAUCUUCCUCCAUGGGAUUGUUUUGAGGAUUUAAGUAAGAUGUUGCUUGUUAAGCCCUUGGCACAGUUCAUGACACAAAGUCACUGUUAAGAAUGCUGGCAUAAAGAUACAUGCACACGUAUGUUCAUCACAGCACUAUUCACAAUAGCAAAGAUACAGAGUCAGCCUGAAUCCCCAAUGGUAGAAUGCGUAAAGAAAAUUUGAUACCCAUACACUGUGAAAUACUAUGUAACCACAAAAAGGCCGAGAUCAUGUGCUUUGCAGCAACAUGGGUGAAGCUGGAGGCCAUUUUCCUUAGCAAACUCACACAGGAAUGGAAACUCAAAUACUGCAUGUUCUCACUGACAUGUGGGAACUGAAUGAUAAGAACACAUGGCCACAAAGAGGGGAACGACAAACAGUGGGGCCUACUUGAGGAUGGAAGGCAGGAGGAGGGAGACAUUCAGGAGGAAUACCUAUCAAAUACUAUGUUUAGUACCUGGGUGAUGAAGUAAUCUGUACAACAAACCCCCAUGACAUGAGUUUACCUGUAUAACAAACCUGCAUAUGUACCCCUGAACCUAAAAUAAAAGAAAAACAAGAAUGCUGAAAUUCUUAAGCAUUC
rnacentral:lncRNA from 10 species